ensembl:lncRNA
CUUUCAUGUGAGUGUAUGCAGUCUUGUUCCUAAAAUGAACAUGUUGCGUAUCUGUGCUCACACUACAGAUACUGAUGUAAUCGUCUUGUCUGAAACCUGGUUAAGUAAAUUGGUUUCAGAUAAAGAAAUCAAUAUAAGUGGUUAUAAUGUUUUUAGGACUGACUGCCCUAACGGAGGUGGGGGUGUAGCAAUCCACAUCAAAAACCAGUAUCAAGUUAAUGUAUUGCUAUCAAUAUCCUUAGUUAAACAGUUUGAAUUUUUAGCCUUGGAGCUUAAAGUCUCUAAAUCAAUUUGUAUAACGGUCAUUGGUUGUUAUAGGACACCUUCAGCUGUUAGCGGUGCUCUGCCCUCCUUAAUGCAACUCCUUUCUGAUUUUAACUCUAAGGAAUUAGUAGCCUUCGGAGACCUAAAUUGGAACUGGUUACAACCAGUAUCUGAUGAUUUCAGAGCUUAUUGUGAUUCAUUAAAUCUCUUUCAGAUUGUUAACAGUCCCACACAGCUAAACUUUAAAAACUCUGAAAAAUCAUCGCUAAUAGAUGUGAUUCUAACUAACAAUCCUCAUAAAUACUCAAAUGCUUUCAUAUUUGCAAACAACAUUAGUGACCACUGUGUCGUAGCAACAGUUAGAAAUACUAAAAUACCUCAAAUCAAACCAUGCAUUAUAGUCAAGUGUAAUAUGAAGCACUUCUCAGAACAAGAAUUCAUGAUUUAUCUAAUUACAACUGGAAAAAAAUUUAUAUUAGUGCAGAUGUUGAUAGUGCCUGAAACAUCUUUCAUGAGGGGUUUACCAAUAUAAUUAAUAAGUAUGCUCCACUAAAGAAAAACAGAGUUAAAGGCUGAAACAAUGCUUGGUUUUCUUCUGAUUUAGCAAAUAUCCUCCAUGAGCGCAACGUGGCAUGGGCAAAAGCCAGAAAAUCUAAUCAGAACGCUGACUGGCUGGUUUUCAGGCAACUGCGUAAUGCAUGUACUCAGAAUUAGAAAAGCCAAAGCUGAUCAUUUUCUUUCUCAAACCACUCACAACCUGAAUAAUCCAUCCAAAUUUUGGAAAAUUAUCAAAGCGUUAUCAGAAAACAUUAAAGGCCAG